GCGGGGUGGAGCAAUGGUAGCUCGGCGCUCUGAUUAGGCGCAGCCGGCGGUUCGAUUCCGUCCCCCGCUA
rnacentral:tRNA from 1 species